UGAGGAAUUUUGCGCAAUGGCCGCAAGGCUGACGCAGCAACGCCGCGUGGGUGAUGAAGGCCUUCGGGUCGUAAAGCCCUGUCAGGUGGGAAGAAAGGUUUCAAGGAGAAACACUUGGGAUUUGACGGUACCACCAGAGGAAGCACCGGCUAACUCCGUGCCAGCAGCCGCGGUAAUACGGAGGGUGCGAGCGUUAUUCGGAAUUACUGGGCGUAAAGCGCGUGUAGGCGGGGAUGCAAGUCUGAUGUGAAAGCCCUGGGCUUAACCUGGGAAGGGCAUUGGAAACUGGAUGUCUUGAGUACUGGAGAGGAGGGGGAAUUCCCGGUGUAGAGGUGAAAUUCGUAGAGAUCGGGAGGAAUACCAGUGGCGUAGGCGCCCUUCUGGACGGUAACUGACGCUGAGACGCGAAAGCGUGGGGAGCAAACA
rnacentral:rRNA from 1 species